UGGGGCCGCGACGGCGUCUUGAUUCCCUCUGGCCCCCCGGCUUUCGCGGGCGGGGCCGCGACAGCGUCUCAGACCCACAGGUUCCCCACCUGCCCACCAGGGCUCUCAGUGACCGUUGGGAUAAGCAGUCCCGCCAUCCACCUAUUUUUCUGCACGAGGAGGGGUGCAGUGACUUACAGAGGAAGUGGCAGAACCGGGGUUCCAGAUUCCAGCGCCUCCCCCAUACCGUGACUGUUGCGUCCCUUUUCUUAAAAAAUGGAUAAACAGGGCCCCCACAAAGGAGCAGCGGCUGGCCCCAAGACGCAAAGUCACCUGCGAACCAGGAAGCAGGAGACCCCACCAGUUCCCAAGUGGUGGCUAUGGGCAUGACAUUGACCUCCCACCCCAUCAAUAAGAAGAAAAAACACGAGAGGGGAUUCUGGUCUUUAUUUGCAAGCCCAGCCUGCAGCUCCCUCCGCCCAGCCCAGCCCAGGCGGCGAUGGGGUGGGGGCCUCUUCGUGGGGCGGGAAGAGAUACCCGUGGUCCGACUCAAAACGUGUGCACCAGCUGGACCGCGGGCAGAGUCUGGACAAUCUGGAUGGAAGGCAGGCCCUGUGGGGCCACGCCCCCGGGUGCCGCUCCUGCGGGGACCACUUGUACCAUCUGGGGGCCCGGGGCCGCAGGGACACCCGCAGGAGCAGAGGCUGGGCCAGGUGGGGGGGGCGCCAGUAGCUGCAGCGCAGCGGCGCCUCCCCCAGCGCUGCCGUUCUCCAGCAACUCUGCGGCUGGGGCGCUGCGGAUAAUGAGCAGCUUCUGUCCGGGCGGGCCUGAGGCGGGCGGCUCGGCCAGACCCGACGGUAAGGUCUCUACCUCCUGCACACACAGCUGGGUCUGCUCCCCGUCGGCCCCGCUCAGCACCAGCACGCUCUGCAGUCCCUCCUCCGUCUGCAGCGUCUCAAAGAGCACAUCUGGGACUACCCCCGGGCCGCCCCCGCCCUCGCCAGGCUCCACUGGGCCAGGGUCCGCCAGUAACUCCUCAGCUGCCCCGCUCUGAACCACUAGCAGAUUAGGCGCCUCGGUGGUCACGGCUCCCUCCCUGGAACUGCUGGACCGUGGUCACCUCCUGGGCCGGCUGGAGUUGGACGGUGGUCAGUUCCGGGGCUGGACGAAGGGGCUGGAGCUGAACCCCACUCACUUCCUGUGGGCCUGUUUCCCCACCCGCCACGUUCUGCAGAACUAUGAGGCUCUGCCCUCCCACGUUCCCCGCAGCGUUGCUUCCUCUCUGCACUCCUAACCCCCCAGGGCCCGGCAGCCAGACCACUCCCUCCCCCCGCCCCCCCUUCCCCUCCCCC
rnacentral:lncRNA from 1 species